rnacentral:rRNA from 1 species
UCCGGUUGAUCCCGCCGGAGGUGACUGCUAUCCGAAUUCGGCUUAGCCAUGCAAGUGUAGGGUUAAACCUACGCAGACUGCUCAGUAACACGUAGUCAAUCUGCCCUUAGGUAUUGUCUAAUCCCGGGAAACUGGGGCCGAGGACAUAAUAGGUAAAAGAUACUGGAAUGUUCUUUUACUGAACUAAGGAUGAGACUGCGGCCUAUCAGGCUGUUGCGAGGGUAACGUCCUCGCAAACCUAUAACGGGUACGGGCCUUGAGAGAGGGAGCCCGGAGUCCUAUUCUGAGACAAGAAUAUGGGUCCUACGGGACGCAGCAGGCGCGAAACUUUCACAACGCACGCAAGUGUGAUGAAGGAAUUCGGAGUGAUUUCUCAUACUUUGAGGAAUCUUUUGAUAAGUCUAAAAAGCUCGUUGAAUAAGGGGUGGGUAAGACGGGUGCCAGCCGCCGCGGUAAUACCCGCGCCCCAAGUGGUCACCACGUUUAUUGGGCUUGAAGCAUUCGUAGCCGGUUCAAUAAGUUUCUAAUGAAAUCCUGCAGCCAACUGCAGGGCUUGUUGGGAAUACUAUUGGACUAGAGACCGGGAGAGGUGCAGGGUAUUCCUGGGGUAGUGGUAAAAUACUUUAAUCCCAGGAGGACCACCUGUGGCGAAGGCGCUGCACUAGAACGGAUCUGACGGUGAGGGAUGAAAGCUAGGGGAGCAAAGCGGAUUAGAUACCCGUGUAGUCCUAGCUGUAACGAUGCCCGCUAGACAUUGACAUUCUUACGGGGGAUGUCAGAGUCGUAGGGAAACCGUUAAGCGGGCCGCCUGGGGAGUACGGUCGCAAGGCUGAAACUUAAGGGAAUUGGCGGGGGAGUACACAAGGGGUGGAGGCUGCGGUUCAAUUCGAUUCAACGCGAGGAACCUCACCAGCGGCGACAGCAGAAUGAAGGUCAGGCUGAAGGUCUUACCAAACAAGCUGAGAGGAGCUGCAUGGCCGUCGUCAGUUCGUGUCGUGAGGUGUCCUGUUAAGUCAGGUAACGAACGAGACCCAUAUCCUAUGUUGCCACACUUUCCUUUUGGGGAGAAGCACUCAUAGGAGACCGCUACUGAUAAAGUAGAGGAAGGAAUGGUCGACGGCAGGUCAGUAUGGUCUGAAUCCGCUGGGCAACACGCGGCCUACAAUGGCUGGUAUAAUAGGAUGCGACCCUGUAAAGGGGAGCUAAUCCUCAAACCCAGUCUUAAUCCGGAUCGAGGGUUGUAACUCACCCUCGUGAAGCCGAAAUCCCUAGUAGUCGCUGGUCAUCAUCUAGCGGCGAAUAUGUUCCUACUCCUUGCACACACUGCCCGUCAAGCCAACCGAGUGGAUUUAUGGCGAGCUUCUGGUUUUUGCCAGGAUCAAGUCAUUUUUCUGCAAGGUGGGCUAAGUC